rnacentral:lncRNA from 1 species
UCCAUUUGAGGGGUACAUUACAACGCAUUGAUAUGAGUGAUUUUGUGGUUAGUUUUACAGCUAAAAUGGACCUUUUUAAUAUACAAUAAAAGUAGUCAAAGGCAACCAAAUCACGUGCGAAAUGGCAUCUUCAUUUUUGAUACAAGAUUUGUUGUUCAUCAAUUUUCAAUAGACCUUGUGGCUUAAUAUUUUACAUUAAUUUGUCUAUUGUCACCACCAGCUUACUAUUUUUUGUCGAAAAAGUGGAAGAACAAAUGGGUUAGAAUAAAUGAAGCCAUUACGUUCUUUUGUGACUUGGGCAACCAGAUAUGGAUAUAUUGAUUUGUGCCAGCGAUGGUCAAUCUGUUUGUUGUUUGUUGCUUCAAUGUAAGCUUUUGAAUCGAAUACAUGAUCGAUCUGACACUUGACUUGCCAAAUUCCUCACAGCUUAAAAUGAUUAUGUGUUCUUUACCUCAAGUAUUAAUCUUUACUUUGACAGCGCAGCUUAUGAAUCUGAAUAGUUUACCCAAAGGUCAGUAAGUUUGAUCCCAACUGUUAUGGAUAAUUCCUUUUUAGGAGGGAAUAGGAAUGAAAUAAUUUAGUCUAUAUAGAAAACCGUGUUGCGUACUAGAAAGAAGAAAUAUGGCUAGUUGUUAUGCGUUUGCAAUAUUCUCCAGGGGGUCACAAUCAUUAUGCGGGUCAGCCUUACUUUUCAGAUGUCUUGCGUACCACCAGGCACAGCUAACACAAAUAUUGCGCAGUAUGGACAAAAUGGGUCAAUUUCCUGGAAGCCAUGGGUGGUUAGUAUACUUCCAUUCAGGGGCACGUGACUCCUCCCACCGGUCGUAUUGUUCUGCAAUAUGGGGGACCCCGUUCAGCGGAGUAACCCACAGAAACUAUGCAAGCACCAUUACCCUGCAGGUGUAUGUUUUCAUAAAUCUUCUCUAUUUCGUGUAUCCUCUUUCUUUCUCUCCUAGCUUCACAGUUACAGACAUUUUCAACUAGUGCAGUUGUAUGUGGAUGAAUUUAUGAGGAAUUAUUAAUUGAACUUAGAAAUAGGCUUAUAGUUUGGUUAAAAAAACCAUUAAUUGAUUUAGAAUCUGAUUCUUUAUUGCCCAAAACAAUUGUACGGGGUUGUGUGAUCAUUUUUUUUUGGUUUGGAGGGGGAAUGGGGUGGGGGUGAAAGCAAGAAAGAAAAUUUUCAAUUAACACACUAAAAGACUUCUAAUGAAAAUAUAUUAGUGUAAUAAUAACUGAUCCUCCUGGUGGCAGCUAGGCAUUGAUUCCAAAAGAUUGCUUGUUAGGUUUCUGCUGUUCUAGAAAAAGGAGGAAGACGGAGGGUGGGGGGGUGCGUUGAGUUCCAUUGUAAAUAAGGUCUCCGUGCCCUAUGCCCUCAAAAAGGAGAAAUCCAAUCGAAGCAUCAGGUUUUUGAUAGGAAGCACGGACACUCCUCGAAGGCAACGUACGGUGUCAGACACUCACGGACCGACAGGGUGUGAGACCGCGUGGGAACGUGUCGGACACGCCAAGUGGCGUUGUCAAUUUUUUAUUAUUUAAUUUAUGAUUCGGGACACGGCGGGACACCGUGUUGUCCUGUGUGGGGUAAUUUUCAAUUCACCUCCCUUGAAGUUUCUAAUAAAAUAUACUUAUACCCAAAGUUUUUAAAAUAAUAUUAAUAUCUAUUACUUUUGAAAAUUAUUAUUUAAAAAAAAUUAAAACUGUUUUUUGGAAAAUUGAUACAUAACUAAUUUUAUGUAAUAUUUUUUUAAAAAAAAUUGGAUAACAAAAUUGAGAUAAUUUUGAUAAUAAUAUGAAAAAUGAAAAGGCUAAUGUUAUUUAAAACUAUAGGAAAUUGAAUGAAUUGUAAAAGAAUCUACGGGAAAAAACUAGUUGAAUUUUGAAUUUUAAAACGUUAUGAAUUUUGUAUUAGAUGCUAGUUGAAGAGUGUAAUGACACUUAAUGAUUUUUUUUUAGUACUUCAACUUUUAACUUGUGGAUGGAUGAAAUUCAUGAAACAAUAUUUGCAAUUUUGUGGUUAGAUGGUGAAUUUGAUUAAAUUUUAAUGUUUUAGUUUUAUGAUAUGUUAAUACUUAAGUUAUAGAGACAUGUCAUGUUUAUUUUUAUUUAUCUGCACUUAUGUAACUACCUUGAUUAUAAUAUAUAUAUAUAUAGAUAUAUGCAGUGUCUCCGCCGUGUCGUGUCAUGAUUUUUUGAAAAAUUGCCGUGUCCGAGUCUGUGUCCGUUGUCCGACAAGACACAGGUGUCCGUGUCCGUGCUUCUUAGGGUUUUGUACCUGGAAGGAUUUAACGUCCAUUUUAAUGGCCCUUCUGGGAAAUAUGUCUCGUAAAAUAUGUAGAUGCUAAUGCAGCAACAUGAGAAAAAAAACAUGCGUGCGCAGGCAACAACAUAUUGCAUCUUGUCAAUAUUUCAGUGAAUCUAUAAGUAAAAGAAAAGUUAGAAAUAUGGUAGAUUGUUUCUAGGAGGAAACGUCAAGAAUUCACUGAAUAGUUUGAAUUAGAAU